GCUCUCGCUACGGCAGCACACAUACUAAAAUUGGAAUGAUACAGAGAUUAGCAUGGCCCCCGUGCAAGGAUGACACGCAAAUUCGUGAAGCAUUUCAUAUUAAA